GUGGGGAAUAUUGGACAAUGGGCGAAAGCCUGAUCCAGCAAUGCCGCGUGAGUGAUGAAGGCCUUAGGGUUGUAAAGCUCUUUUACCAGGGAUGAUAAUGACAGUACCUGGAGAAUAAGCUCCGGCUAACUCCGUGCCAGCAGCCGCGGUAAUACGGAGGGAGCUAGCGUUGUUCGGAAUUACUGGGCGUAAAGCGCGCGUAGGCGGCUUUCCAAGUCAGGGGUGAAAUCCCGGGGCUCAACCCCGGAACUGCCCUUGAAACUGGAUGGCUAGAAUACUGGAGAGGUGAGUGGAAUUCCGAGUGUAGAGGUGAAAUUCGUAGAUAUUCGGAAGAACACCAGUGGCGAAGGCGACUCACUGGACAGUUAUUGACGCUGAGGUGCGAAAGCGUGGGGAGCAA
rnacentral:rRNA from 1 species